rnacentral:rRNA from 1 species
CCUACGGGUGGCAGCAGUGAGGAAUAUUGGUCAAUGGGAGAGAUCCUGAACCAGCCAAGCCGCGUGAGGGAAGACGGCCCUAUGGGUUGUAAACCUCUUUUGUCGGAGAACAAAACCCGGGACGUGUCCCGGACUGCGUGUAUCCGAAGAAAAAGCAUCGGCUAACUCCGUGCCAGCAGCCGCGGUAAUACGGAGGAUGCGAGCGUUAUCCGGAUUUAUUGGGUUUAAAGGGUGCGUAGGCGGUCCGUUAAGUCAGCGGUAAAAUUGCGGGGCUCAACCCCGUCGAGCCGUUGAAACUGGCAGACUUGAGUUGGCGAGAAGUACGCGGAAUGCGCGGUGUAGCGGUGAAAUGCAUAGAUAUCGCGCAGAACUCCGAUUGCGAAGGCAGCCUACUGGGCUUUAACUGACGCUGAGGCACGAAAGCGUGGGUAGCAAACAGGAUUAGAUACCCGUGUAGUC